rnacentral:rRNA from 1 species
AGAGUUUGAUCCUGGCUCAGAUUGAACGCUGGCGGCAUGCCUUACACAUGCAAGUCGAACGGUAACGCGGGGGCAACCCUGGCGACGAGUGGCGAACGGGUGAGUAAUACAUCGGAACAUAUCCAGUAGCGGGGGAUAACCUAUCGAAAGAUGGACUAAUACCGCAUACGAUCUACGGAUGAAAGCAGGGGACCGCAAGGCCUUGCACUAUUGGAGUGGCCGAUGUCGGAUUAGCUAGUUGGUGGGGUAAAAGCCUACCAAGGCGACGAUCCGUAGCUGGUCUGAGAGGACGAUCAGCCACACUGGAACUGAGACACGGUCCAGACUCCUACGGGAGGCAGCAGUGGGGAAUUUUGGACAAUGGCGCAAGCCUGAUCCAGCCAUGCCGCGUGAGUGAAGAAGGCCUUCGGGUUGUAAAGCUCUUUCGGUGAAGACGAAACGGUUCAUGCUAAUAACGUGAACUAAUGACGGUACUCACAGAAGAAGCACCGGCUAACUACGUGCCAGCAGCCGCGGUAAUACGUAGGGUGCAGGCGUUAAUCGGAAUUACUGGGCGUAAAGCGUGCGCAGGCGGUUUGCUAAGACAGGUGUGAAAUCCCCGGGCUUAACCUGGGAAUUGCGCUUGUAACUGGCAAGCUAGAGUGUGGCAGAGGGGGGUGGAAUUCCACGUGUAGCAGUGAAAUGCGUAGAUAUGUGGAGGAACACCGAUGGCGAAGGCAGCCCCCUGGGUUAACACUGACGCUCAUGCACGAAAGCGUGGGGAGCAAACAGGAUUAGAUACCCUGGUAGUCCACGCCCUAAACUAUGUCAACUAGUUGUCGGGGAAGAAAUUCCUUGGUAACGAAGCUAACGCGUGAAGUUGACCGCCUGGGGAGUACGGCCGCAAGGUUAAAACUCAAAGGAAUUGACGGGGACCCGCACAAGCGGUGGAUUAUGUGGAUUAAUUCGAUGCAACGCGAAAAACCUUACCUACCCUUGACAUGCUAGGAAGCCCGCAGAGAUGUGGGUGUGCCCGAAAGGGAACCUAGACACAGGUGCUGCAUGGCUGUCGUCAGCUCGUGUCGUGAGAUGUUGGGUUAAGUCCCGCAACGAGCGCAACCCUUGCCAUUAGUUGCUACAUUCAGUUGGGCACUCUAAUGGGACCGCCGGUGACAAACCGGAGGAAGGUGGGGAUGACGUCAAGUCCUCAUGGCCCUUAUGGGUAGGGCUUCACACGUAAUACAAUGGUCGGUACAGAGGGCUGCCAACCCGCAAGGGGGAGCUAAUCCCAGAAAGCCGAUCGUAGUCCGGAUUGUAGUCUGCAACUCGACUGCAUGAAGCCGGAAUCGCUAGUAAUCGCGGAUCAGCAUGUCGCGGUGAAUACGUUCCCGGGUCUUGUACACACCGCCCGUCACACCAUGGGAGUGGGUUCCACCAGAAGUAGUUAGCCUAACCGCAAGGAGGGCGAUUACCACGGUGAGAUUCAUGACUGGGGUGAAGUCGUAACAAGGUA